UACUGAAGGUGCAAGCGUUAAUCGGAAUUACUGGGCGUAAAGCGCGCGUAGGCGGUUUGAUAAGUGGGAUGUGAACCCCGGGCUUAACCUGGGAACUGCAUUCCAAACUGUCAGACUAGAGUAUGGUAGAGGCUGGUAGAAUUUCCUGUGUAGCGGUGAAAUGCGUAGAUAUAGGAAGGAAUACCGAUGGCGAAGGCAGCCAGCUGGACCAAUACUGACGCUGAGGUGCGAAAGCGUGGGGAGCAAACAGGAUUAGAUACCCGCGUAGUCC
rnacentral:rRNA from 1 species